UACGGAGGGUGCAAGCGUUAAUCGGAAUUACUGGGCGUAAAGCGCACGCAGGCGGUCUGUCAAGUCGGAUGUGAAAUCCCCGGGCUCAACCUGGGAACUGCAUUCGAAACUGGCAGGCUAGAGUCUUGUAGAGGGGGGUAGAAUUCCAGGUGUAGCGGUGAAAUGCGUAGAGAUCUGGAGGAAUACCGGUGGCGAAGGCAGCCCCCUGGACAAAGACUGACGCUCAGGUGCGAAAGCGUGGGGAGCAAACAGG
rnacentral:rRNA from 1 species